GAAAAGAAACCAACAGGGAUUGCCCUAGUAACGGCGAGUGAAGCGGCAACAGCUCAAAUUUGAAAUCUGGCUUCGGCCCGAGUUGUAAUUUGCAGAGGAUGUUUCUGGCGCGGUGCCUUCCGAGUUCCCUGGAACGGGACGCCACAGAGGGUGAGAGCCCCGUAUGGUUGGACACCAAGCCUGUGUGAAACUCCUUCGACGAGUCGAGUAGUUUGGGAAUGCUGCUCAAAAUGGGAGGUAAAUCUCUUCUAAAGCUAAAUACCGGCCAGAGACCGAUAGCGCACAAGUAGAGUGAUCGAAAGAUGAAAAGCACCUUGAAAAGGGGGUUAAACAGUACGUGAAAUUGUUGAAAGGGAAGCGCUUGUGACCAGACUUGCGCCGGGCGGUUCAUCCGGGGUUCUCCCCGGUGCACUCCGCCCGGCUCAGGCCAGCAUCGGUUCUCGUUGGGGGAUAAGAACGACAGGAACGUGGCCCUCCUUCGGGUGGGUGUUAUAGCCUGUCGUACGAUACCCUGAUGGGGACCGAGGUUCGCGCUCCGCAAGGAUGCUGG
rnacentral:rRNA from 1 species